AAAAUGACAAAAAUAGCAUUUUAUCUUUUGAAAAAUUUAAUUUUUUUUUAUUUUUCAAAAUUUGAAAUCUUAUCCCAAAACCCCACUCUCCAACUCUAAACCCUAAACUCUAAAUCUUAAACUCCACCCCUUAACUUUAAACCCUAAACCCUAAAUCAUAACUUUAAACCCUAAACCCUAAAUCAUAAACUCCAAGUUGCUGAACUUAGCCAACAGAACUAUGAAGAUAGCACCAUGAAACAGAGCCAUCACCGAGUCG
rnacentral:lncRNA from 1 species